rnacentral:rRNA from 1 species
CCUCAGUUGCCAUCAUUAAGUUGGGCACUCUGUGGAGACCUGCCCGGUGGUCAAAACCGGGAGGGAAGGUGGGGAUGACGUCAAGUCCUCAUGGCCCUUAUGACCAGGGCUACACACGUGCUACAAUGGCCGGUACAAAGAGUUGCGAAACCGUGAGGUGGAGCCAAUCUCAUAAAGCCGGUCUCAGUUCGGAUUGGAGUCUGCAACUCGACUCCAUGAAGUUGGAAUCGCUAGUAAUCGCGGAUCAGCACGCCGCGGUGAAUACGUUCCCGGGCCUU